rnacentral:misc_RNA from 1 species
GAUGAAGAACGUAGCGAACGUGCGAAACGUAAUGUGAAUUGCAGAAUUCAGUGAAUCAUCGAAUCUUUGAACGCAUCUUGCGCUCCUUGGUAUUCCGAGGAGCAUGCCUGUUUGAGUGUCGUGAAUACUCUCAACUUCAACCCUUUUUUCGGAAAGGGAGGAAGGUUGGACUUGGGUGUUUGUUGAAGUGCGAGCUUCGACUCAUCCUAAAUGCAUUAGCGAUCUGCCUCGAUCACACACAAUGUGAUAAUUAAAACUAAAGCAUUGUUUAAUGAUCAAGUCGAGACUACUUCUAACUGUCGCAAGACAAUAACGUGCAUACAUUUGUGCAUGUCAUUUGACCUCAAAUCAGGUAGGACUACCCGCUGAACUUAAGCAUAUCAAUAAGCGGAGGA